UGGGAUUGCCUUAGUAACGGCGAGUGAAGCGGCAAUAGCUCAAAUUUGAAAGCUGGCCCCUUUGGGGUCCGCGUUGUAAUUUGUAGAGGAUGAUUCGGCGAGGGCUCCCGUCUAAGUCCCCUGGAACGGGGCGUCAUAGAGGGUGAGAAUCCCGUAUGUGAUGGGUUGCCUUAGCCAUGUGAAUCUCCUUCGACGAGUCGAGUUGUUUGGGAAUGCAGCUCUAAAUGGGAGGUAAAUUUCUUCUAAAGCUAAAUACCGGCCAGAGACCGAUAGCGCACAAGUAGAGUGAUCGAAAGAUGAAAAGCACUUUGGAAAGAGAGUUAAAAAGUACGUGAAAUUGUUGAAAGGGAAGCGCUUGCAGCCAGACUUGUCCGCAGUUGCUCAGCCGGUCUCCUGACCGGCGUACUCUUCUGCGGCCAGGCCAGCAUCAGUUCGGGCGGUCGGAUAAAGACCCCAGGAAUGUAGCUCCUCUCGGGGAGUGUUAUAGCCUGGGGUGGAAUGCGGCCAGCCUGGACUGAGGAUCUCGCUUCGGCUAGGAUGCUGGCGUAAUGGCUGUAAGCGGCCCGUCUUGAAACACGGACCAAGGAGUCUAACAUCUAUGCGAGUGUUUGGGUGUCAAACCCAUACGCGUAAUGAAAGUGAACGGAGGUGGGAACCCUCACGGGUGCACCAUCGACCGAUCCUGAUGUCUUCGGAUGGAUUUGAGUAAGAGCAUAGCUGUUGGGACCCGAAAGAUGGUGAACUAUGCCUGAAUAGGGUGAAGCCAGAGGAAACUCUGGUGGAGGCUCGCAGCGGUUCUGACGUGCAAAUCGAUCGUCAAAUUUGGGUAUAGGGGCGAAAGACUAAUCGAACCAUCUA
rnacentral:rRNA from 1 species